CUUGCAUCUAAACUUUAUCCAAAACUAGGUGCCCUGUACAGAAACAAAUCCUGUCUAAGCCCUACAGUAAAUGAAAAGAUUGUACAGCAAAUGCUGAUGCCAAUCAUUGAUUAUGGGGAUGUAGUAUAUGCAUCUGCAUCGCAAUCCCACAUUAAUAAACUCAACACAUUGUAUAACUCGUUCUGCCGAUUUGUGCUACAAUCUAAUUACAGGACCC